GACGGAGGAUGCAAGCGUUAUCCGGAAUGAUUGGGCGUAAAGCGUCCGCAGGUGGCAGUUCAAGUCUGCUGUCAAAGACCGGGGCUUAACUUCGGAAAGGCAGUGGAAACUGAACAGCUAGAGUAUGGUAGGGGCAGGGGGAACUCCUGGUGUAGCGGUGAAAUGCGUAGAUAUCAGGAAGAACAUCGGUGGCGAAGGCGCUCUGCUGGACCAUAACUGACACUCAGGGACGAAAGCUAGGGGAGCGAAUGGG
rnacentral:rRNA from 1 species